AAACCAUAUAGGACAUUGCCAUUCACCUCCAUUUCCUCUAAGAACUGGAAGACUCUGUUGAGGAAGACUCCACAGCCUUUAGAAAAGUGCAGUAACCAAGCCGCUACCAAUGCGGAAGCUUCCUCCUCAAGACUAGCUCUCAUAAGUGUUGAACAAUGGUUCUCAACCUGUGAAUUGUGAACACGUUGGAGUCCAUAUGAUUCUUUCAGACUGGUUGCCUAAGAUCAUCUGCAUGCCAGACCUUGAGGCUAGAAGGCAAGUCUAUAAUAUGGGCCAUACCUUCUGUUGGAUGGACAAGGGAAAAAGGAAGGGUUUGUAUGCAUUCUUUGCUUGUUUGCCCUGCCUUGUCAGCACAUCUAUUUCUUCACUGAAAUUGAAAUCUGCUUCUUUGGGAUUCCAG
rnacentral:lncRNA from 1 species